rnacentral:rRNA from 1 species
UACGAAGGGUGCAAACGUUGCUCGGAAUUAUUGGGCGUAAAGCGCACGUAGGCGGCUUUGCAAGUCGGAUGUGAAAUCCCUCGGCUUAACCAAGGAAGUGCAUCCGAAACUGCAGAGCUUGAGUACUUAAGAGGAUCGCGGAAUUCCCGGUGUAGAGGUGAAAUUCGUAGAUAUCGGGAGGAACACCAGUGGCGGAGGCGGCGAUCUGGGAAGAUACUGACGCUGAGGUGCGAAAGCGUGGGGAGCAAACAGG